rnacentral:rRNA from 1 species
AAAUUGAAGAGUUUGAUCAUGGCUCAGAUUGAACGCUGGCGGCAGGCCUAACACAUGCAAGUCGAACGGUAACAGGAAGAAGCUUGCUUCUUUGCUGACGAGUGGCGGACGGGUGAGUAAUGUCUGGGAAACUGCCUGAUGGAGGGGGAUAA